rnacentral:lncRNA from 1 species
GCCGGGGCAGCGCGGUGGGAGCCGCGCGGCGCCCCGGCCCUCUCCCAGCCCUGCCGCAACAUUUAUUGCAAAAGCAGGAAAUCGCUGAUUACUAAACUAGCUGGCAAGGGAGCGGGAGCCGAUGCUGUUCCCCCCUGGCACGGCACUUGCCUAGCCGCUGCCUCCCCUGCCUCUCCUUGUUCCGCUCUUUCUUCUUCUUCUUCUUCCCCCUCUUCCUCUCCGCUCUCUCUCGCUCUCUCCUCUCCUUUUUUUUCAUUUUGGCUUCUAUUCAAAUGUGGGUCAGGGGUGAGCGGCUCCCAACGUCACAAGCUUGCAAGAUGGCGCUGGGAGGAAGGCUGUGAGAUGAGGAACAGGCUGGUAUAAACCGAGAGGACAGGAGAGGGAGAGGAGGAGGAGGAGGAGAGGGGAAGGGGAAGAAAAGCCGCUGCUCCAGAUGCAAUAAGAAGGUCACAGUUCAGAGGCUCCGGAGAAAGCAGGCAUGACACUAUGAGUCUCGCUGGAUGUGUGUCGCGUGCUCGUUGCCCAGGUGCCCUCCGCGUAAAAGGGUUUGACAAAGUGGAGUCCCAGAUGGACUCGGAUGCUUCUGUGUCAGAGACGGCUCUGUGUGAGAUGUCGGUGCGGCUCUGGGUUGGAGUACAGAGGCAGACAAACACGGGGAAGUGGUUGAUGAAUUCAUGUUCCUUCCACCUGGCAAACUCAUGCCUGAAAUGCUGA